UCCAUCCAGUCCAGAGCCCUUGACACCAAACCACAUCCUGACCAUGAAAUCCACGUUCAUCUCGCCACCUCCUGGAAAGUUUGUCAGGGAAGAUCUGUACCUCCGCAAGAGAUGGCGAGUUAAACUUUUAGCCAACAACUUUUGGACACGGUGGAAGAAGGAAUACCUCCUCAAUCUCCAACACAGACAGAAGUGAAUCAAAGACCGCAGAAACACUAAGUUCUCACAGGUUGACAUGAUGUUGUAGAAAAAAAAACGUUUUUUAAACAAGACCUCGUGCUUCGUGUUGACUACUGGAGAGAGCUACAUCCCUGGUUCGGUUUCGAUCCCCUGCUGCUCCUGUCUGCAUGUCAAAUGUCCUUGAGCAAGAUUCAGUAUUGUUCCUGAUGACCAGCAACACAGGUGUGACCAGCUCAGUUUGGAUCCUGGCCUCCUGCUCUCUCCCAGCUCCCCUCCCUCUGCUGGGCGGCGAGUGAGGGAGCAGCCCUGACCUCCGGCGCUGGAUGCGGAAACAAUGGCGACGCGCCUCAGGGUGACAGCGGGAGACAGGAACAGGCACAAACACAGGAACUGUCCAUUCUGCCACUGAGACAGACCUGCAGAGGCCUGAGAAUCUGGAGGAGGA